rfam:Triticum urartu cultivar G1812 contig259528, whole genome shotgun sequence.
AUAAUACUCCCUCCGUCCGAAAAUACUUGUCAUCAAAAUGAAUAAAAGGGGAUGUAUCUAGAUGUAUUUUAGUUCUGGAUACACCCCUUUUUGUCCAUUUUGAUGACAAGUUUUUUCGGACGAAGAGAUAUGAU